rnacentral:rRNA from 1 species
CUACGGGAGGCUCCAGUGGGGAAUAUUGCACAAUGGAGGAAACUCUGAUGCAGCAACGCCGCGUGGAGGAUGACACUUUUCGGAGCGUAAACUCCUUUUAUAUAGGAAGAAGAUGACGGUACUAUAUGAGUAAGCGCCGGCUAACUCCGUGCCAGCAGCCGCGGUGAAUACGGAGGGCGCAAGCGUUACUCGGAAUCACUGGGCGUAAAGAGCGUGUAGGCGGAUUAAAAAGUCAGAAGUGAAAUCCUAUAGCUUAACUAUAGAACUGCUUCUGAAACUCUUAAUCUAGAAUAUGGGAGAGGUAGAUGGAAUUUCUGGUGUAGGGGUAAAAUCCGUAGAGAUCAGAAGGAAUACCGAUUGUGAAGGCGAUCUACUAGAACAUUAUUGACGCUGAGACGCGAAAGCGUGGGGAGCAAACAGGAUUAGAUACCCGUGUAGUC